rnacentral:rRNA from 1 species
GAGACCACAACGUUGAUAGGUGGGGUGUGUAAGCGCGGCGACGUGUUGAGCUAACCCAUACUAAUUACCCGUGAGGCUUAACCAU